rnacentral:rRNA from 1 species
AGAGUUUGAUCCUGGCUCAGGACGAACGCUGGCGGCGUGCUUAACACAUGCAAGUCGAACGGAGCACCCUUGAAUGAGGUUUCGGCCAAAGGAAAGGAAUGCUUAGUGGCGGACUGGUGAGUAACGCGUGAGGAACCUGCCUUUCAGAGGGGGACAACAGCUGGAAACGGCUGCUAAUACCGCAUGACGCAUUCGGAUGGCAUCAUCUGAAUGCCAAAGAUUUAUCGCUGAAAGAUGGCCUCGCGUCUGAUUAGAUAGUUGGCGGGGUAACGGCCCACCAAGUCGACGAUCAGUAGCCGGACUGAGAGGUUGACCGGCCACAUUGGGACUGAGAUACGGCCCAGACUCCUACGGGAGGCAGCAGUGGGGAAUAUUGGGCAAUGGGCGCAAGCCUGACCCAGCAACGCCGCGUGAAGGAAGAAGGCUUUCGGGUUGUAAACUUCUUUUAAGAGGGAAGAGCAGAAGACGGUACCUCUUGAAUAAGCCACGGCUAACUACGUGCCAGCAGCCGCGGUAAUACGUAGGUGGCAAGCGUUGUCCGGAUUUACUGGGUGUAAAGGGCGUGCAGCCGGGCAUGCAAGUCAGAUGUGAAAUCUCAGGGCUCAACCCUGAAACUGCAUUUGAAACUGUAUGUCUUGAGUGCCGGAGAGGUAAUCGGAAUUCCUUGUGUAGCGGUGAAAUGCGUAGAUAUAAGGAAGAACACCAGUGGCGAAGGCGGAUUACUGGACGGUAACUGACGGUGAGGCGCGAAAGCGUGGGGAGCAAACAGGAUUAGAUACCCUGGUAGUCCACGCUGUAAACGAUCAAUACUAGGUGUGCGGGGACUGACCCCCUGCGUGCCGGAGUUAACACAAUAAGUAUUGCACCUGGGGAGUACGAUCGCAAGGUUGAAACUCAAAGGAAUUGACGGGGGCCCGCACAAGCGGUGGAUUAUGUGGUUUAAUUCGAAGCAACGCGAAGAACCUUACCAGGUCUUGACAUCCUGCUAACGAAGUAGAGAUACAUCAGGUGCCCUUCGGGGAAAGCAGAGACAGGUGGUGCAUGGUUGUCGUCAGCUCGUGUCGUGAGAUGUUGGGUUAAGUCCCGCAACGAGCGCAACCC